UCUAUUCCUGGAUGGUAAUGCUCCAUUAAAAGUACGUAUGAUUAUACAUUAAAGUAUUCCCGGGCUAAAAGCUCCUGGCUCCCUUAGCUGGCAGGGUAUAAUUGAAGUCCAUUCUGCCUGGCUCCGGUCCAUCUUUCUAGUCCACCCUUUCUACUCUCUGUGCCCCCCGCAUUGGGUAAAGUUUAGCGGUUCUUCUUUUCUCUAGCCUAGCCCAAGCCUUCUGUGUCUUAACCAAUCUUCUAACGUUCUGCUCUCAGCAGUCCCAUUCCACCUCCUACGGUCUGCCUUUCCAUAUGUGCCGUUCGGUUCCUUUGAGCUCCUGCUACAUCAUGCUUAUUCCUCCUGUCUCGUGUUGUUCUGCACUGGGUGUGCUCCUGCCACCUCUUUCCUGAACCAUCACAUCUUUCUCACCCUGUCUAACGCACAGAAGAGAACACAGGGAGUGUUGGCUUUCUCAGGUUGAGAUCUGGGCACCGGGCACAAACUGCUGGACUGCCAAUCGAUGCAAAACCACCUCGGAUCCAACAGAAAUGGCAACACUGUGAUUCCAGUUGAGGUUUUUCUCCCUGGGCGAGACCUUACGGUAGUCAGAGGACGGCAGGGACGACUGGAAACAUCUCCCUUCCCGUUGCAUCCCAGUGCGCACACAUCUGUUCCUCCAGAUGCAUGGCUUGGGACUCCAAGUAGUCUGGCAAGUAUGCAUUUUGGUAAUGUCAACAUGAGAAAUGUCAAUAUUAGAAUGUUUUUUAAAUGAGUACUUUUCCCUGGUGAGAUGAAACUUUUUUAAAAAGGCCUUCUCUUAGGGGAUUCUGAACACAUUUAAAGAGAAGACAGCAGUAAGUAGGGGCCUUGUCUUGAGAGAUUAAGGAA